rnacentral:lncRNA from 1 species
GUGAUGAGCAGGCCUGCCCCAUGUAAGAGUGAAAGGCAGAAGCUGAAACACAAAAAUCAGAGUCACAGAAUCCCUUCCAAGGGAGUAAAUGGAGGAGAAACUGGAAAGGUGUGACAGAAGCCAAGAACAUAAGGAGGUGAAAGGCAGUGACUGGGAGCCAGAGAAGAGAUGCUAAACAAGGUCAGUGGAAUAGGAUGAAAUUGGAGUUUGCAUGAAUUCCAGGGCCUGGGUGGGCUAACACUCAGCCUAACAGUGGUUUCUUGCAGGGACCGGGUUGGUUUAAAGAUGGGUGAGUAGAAUUCGUGUGUUUUCUAGAGCCCAGCCGUGAGAUUUUUCCCUCUAUUCAUUCACACAUCAGCUGGGCAGCCAUACUGGGAUCUCAUUUCCCCUUUACUGAGUGCCUUUGCUGUUCACCCAGAGGAGGGGCAACAGAAGCAUGCGCUCAGGGAUCUGGAAUCAGAACGGUCUGGGACUCUCCGGAGGCAUUUAUGGUCUGUGAGACUUUGCAAAAUUUACCUAACUUCCCCGAUGGUAGGCAUCUGAGACAUAGAGACGAUUGUACCAACUUCAUAGAGUUACUGAGAUGAGUAUGUAGAAUCAGACAUGCAAAGUGCUAGGAAUCAUGCAUGAUGCUUAAUAAUAAGGGUAGCAACCCUCUUGCCUAUAAAAACCACCCCCUUCCCAAGUUGACUUUCUUUCUUACCCUUGGUAUAUCUGACCUGACCACACUUCCUUCAAGAAACCUGAUCUCAAACUUAGAAGUGAAACCCUGGGGUUGAGUUAUACAUGUUACUCAUGACCGAGUGAGUCCUUGUGGCUUGCUGCUUUAUCUGAGUCAUUUGCACUUAUAUGCACUACGACUGACACACAGAUAAGAUUAAGCUUUAAAAUUUCCUUACUUAUUUUCACAACAUAAAAACUAGCUUAUGGGUCAUUUCUUAUCAUCGCUCCAAUUUUACUAUAAUGUCUUAUGAUUUAUAAUUACUAACCAUGACAAAUUCUUAUGGUUGGAGGCACAUUAAAAAAAAAAUAGCUGCUGAGGGCCUAGCCAGCUGAUUCGGCUAAGGCAGUUGUUCUUCUCCUCUCUUCUCUUCUCUUCCUUUUUUUGUUCUUAGAGAGGGGAGUGAGAGAUCACGAGUGCAACCGGGGGAGGGGCAGAGAAAGAAGGAGAGAGAGAAUCCCAACCAGGCACCGCGCCCAGGGCAGAGCCCAACGUGGGGCUCAAUCCCAUCACCCCACAAGCAUGAGAUCAUGACGAGACACGAAAAGGACACUCAACCAGGUGAUCCACCCAGGCACCCUGGCAGUUGCAUUUCUGAAACAUAUGUUGCCAGAGAUCAUUUCCUUCAUGAAAUCAUUAUGAACAUAAUAGUUAACUUUACAGGAGUUUGUAAAGAAUCAUUCUCUAAAAAUACCCUGAAAGCUUAUUUCCCUUAAUGUCUUUUCAGCCCUUUAUUCAGUUACUUAGUUAUAAUAUCUAACCUAGAAACAGGGACUCCUUGAGAAAGCACGUGGGUCCUUAUCACAUUGGUGCAGUAUUUCCCAAUGCAACAUUAUCCCAGUCCCUGACAUGCCCAAGGCAAAUUGUGUUGAGUAAUGUGUACCAAAGGUUGUGUGCAUGAGAUUUCUCUCGAUGGGUUUAAUUUACAUGCACUAUAUAAGAGAUUUCCCAAUAUUUAGGACCUCCAUGAAGUAAGUCGAGACAUAAAAUCAUUGGGAGCAUCUGCACAGAGAAUGAAGGAAUCAGAAUGGUACUCUUUCAGAAUACGGAGAACCUAGAAAUGGUUGUUUUUGAGAUGCCAUGUACACACUGUUAAGGGGGAAGGCUUUCCCUGUGACAGACAUUUAAAAAAAAAAAAGUGGAGUUAGAGAGAGUGCCUUCCCUCCUGGGGGCAGGGAGUUAGAAGCUGGGACAGAGAAUAGUACCAACAUUUCCCCACUCAUACUUCACUGUCAUGAACGGUUUCCCUGUCCCAGCACUUCCUCAUGCUGUUUUCUGCACUGUCCUCUGUGGAGAAAUGUGCUUCCUCUCUCCGAACAUAAAUGCAGAGGGGAGAAGAGCAGAAGGGCCGCUCUUUUGGCUACACGAAGCACUCUCAUUUUCUGGAGUAAAGGGAACAUCAUUUCCUGAAUCUUAAUCUUUUGAAGUUUACUUCUAUUUAACUGGCUUCCAAAAUAGGUUUGAACUAGGUGGUUAACAUGAGAUGGUCUAAAUACCAUUUUGCAAAGGGAGAAUUCAGGAACAUGGAAGUUAACUUUGCUUACCUAGUAAGAUUCGCAGCAAAGGCAAUCCUUCCAAGAGUUUAAGUUCAGAAGCACGGCAUGAUAGUAACUCCAACAUUCAGUCUUUUCUUUUGCCUUUUUCUUUCCCUUUUUUUUUUUUUUUUUGGAAUAGACGUAAAGUCAUAAUGUGAAGGUAAUAAAAAGCUCUGUUGGACAAUUCAACAGCAUUUAUUGAAUAUUGGUGAUACUCUGUAAGUAAUUUAGCACUUUGUAUCUAAUUAUCCCAAAGUGCCUGCCUUUUGAUAUCAUAACACAAAUGUAUAACGCUUUUUGGUUAGCCUAACAGAUGACAGAGGCACUUCCAAAUUAAAGAUGUUAAAAUGACAAUUCAGAAGAAACAGGGUUAGGCCACCCUGUAUCUCCUUGGUGGUUGCUACCAGGAAACUACCUGCUUCGGGCUUAAGAUCACCGAGGGGGCGGGGCCAAGAGUAAAGGAAGAAACGGUGGUUUCAGUUUGUGAACACUCAUCCAUAACACCCUCCCCAGUCAGCAUAGCCACGUCUCCCCUCCACAUAUAGUUUGUUUUGCAUACUUCCUGCUAAUUGAUUGAGAGCUAAAUAAGAUUUAGACCCAGAGGCCAGCAGCCAUUUUAGCACACAUUGCACAGGACUAGAAGUAUCACAAGGUGUCAUAUUUGCAUACCUUGAAGUUGAAUAAAAGAAGAGCAGGAUCUAGAUAAACGAGCAUUUAAAAAAAUUACCUCUUAAGUUAUUCACUUGGUUUCUAAUGCAAGUUAAUCUCCCUCUGUUUUAUUUGUAGGUGUGGGAGGUCUAGCCCAGAGCCAACAGGGAGAGCUUUGUGAGAGCACUUGCAGUGUCAGCAAUGAGAGCCGCUUUCUGCCUCACUGCCCCGGCCGCCCAGGAAGUCAGGACUGGCUCCUAUUUGGAUCAGGCCAUUUUGCAGCCUUGCUAUUGGCCUGCGGAGCAACUUGCUACUGCCAUGGGACAAGCCUGUGUCCUGUUGGCUGGCCGGUACCUGGUGUCGAGAAUCCUCCAUUCACUAUCCAACUGGGUCAUCAGUUUUACUCUCUGACACGGCAGGCAGCUCUGGACAUCUCAGCACAUUCCAGGAGGAAAAAAAAAAAAAGAGUAAGUUUGAAAGAUCAUAAAGGAUUUUUUUUUUUUUGUAUAGCUCUUAAACCCAUCUGCUGAAGGCCAUGGAAAUUUAUUUGCACACACUCAGGGAGAAAAAGAGAUAAAGAGCAAAUCAUCUUUCUUUUAGAAUAGGAGGGAAAUCACACACUGGCUUGCAAAGAUGCUUAAGGAAGUAGCCAGGCCUCUUGUAACCUGAUGCUUUUUGAAAUAGAGAAUUUCCAAAUGCAAAGUGUUCCUGACGUUAAGAUUAAUUUCUUCUUGCACGCCCGUGCAUUCUGGUUGUGUCAUAUUUCCUGGGUAAGACCUGGGGCACACUCCAAAGUUGAAGCUUGCCCAAAGAAACUUUAGUACAUCCCGCCCCCCCCUCUCCCCACUCUCUCCAGACUUUGGAAAGAAAAGGAUUCAGUGUUAUUUUUUCAUCCCUUGCCAACCAUGGUAGAUAAAAGUUUAUUUGAGGCAAUCGUAUCUCCCUCUUAAAUCAACAGAAGUUUAAUUUGAUGCGGAUGGAGGGCAGAGACACAUUCAUUUCCCGACACCGAAUGUCUUAUGUGAAAUAGCCCAGAGAAGUGCUAAUCUGGGUCCAAAGAAAAAAUAACCCAUUUUAUAAUAAAAGGAUUGUACCUAAAGAGUAUUCCAACACAAUAUUUAUACUCCAACCCGAGUCUUAUUUCCUCUGACUUUCCCGAGCCAGCUGUCAGCUGGUCAGCCUCAGGCACUGGCCCAGGAUCUGACCCCUUUGAGACGUAGAUUCCUUCUAGAUACUUCUAUCCCUCCUGAGGGUCUGGGAAGAAGAGAACAAGAACGCUCCCAAGCUGUCCUGUGUGUGCUGAAAAACUUCCCAGUGACAGGAUAGACUCCCUCCUUCCUUCCAGCCCCCACUUCGCCUCCCUCAGCCUUUUCUCUAGCUCUUCUCCAGAUGAUUAUAUGCAGAGCAGUUGACUGCAACACGGCUGUUACUACCCAGCAAGCGUUUCACAUAAUUUCUGGUUAUAAAUAAAACUUGCUCCUUUGUGAGCAGGGAACUGAAAGACAAAUUGGGGGGUAAUCUUAAUUUACUGAAACUGUUUAAUUAGCAAUCCUGUAUAAUGAUGACGGCGGGACUUUAGACUCAGCCUGAGUCCACAUUCUUUCUCACUAUUAAUAGCUACAGAACUUGACUUCCAUGGAACUGUCCAGUCUCAGCUUCCUCAUGUGUAAAGUGAGAAUAAUUCAAGAAUUAAAUGCGAUAAUCUGUAUAAAGAUCUUACUCUGCUCCUGACACACAUAAUAAUGCUUUAAUAGGGGCGCCUGGGUGGCUCAGUCGGUUGAGCGUCUGACUUCGGCUCGGGUCAUGAUCUCGUGGUCUGAGAGUUCCAGCUCUGCGUUGGGCUCAGUGCUGACAGCUCAGAGCCUGGAGCCUGCUUCGGAUUCUGCGUCCCCCUCUCUCUCCGCCCCUCCCCGAUUCAUGCUCUGUCUCUGUGUCACAAAUAAAUAAACAUUAAGAAAAAAAAUAUUUUUUUAAAUAAUGCUUUAAUAAAUGUUAGCUGUCAUUGUGAAAUUCCAAACUUAUGAAGCCUCCCUACCAACAAUAUCAUACUUAAGGACCAAAAAUUAUUAACAAUAGCAAAAUCCUCAAGUUUGGGAAAACAGAUUGAAAUGAAGGGAUGAAUUCUCUAAAUAAAACAAAGGUGUUAAAUAGCAAAGCCAAUACUUUUCAAUGAAAGAACUUUAGGUUUUGCAAUAAACAUGAAAUUAGGAACUUAGAAUUAACAAAGGUCCGACCUCAGGGCAUAGUAUUUGCAGCCUUGGUGUUGUCAUUUGAGCCUAGUAAAAUCCUUGACCUUCUCACAGACCAAGCUGUUCCUAAUAAUGAAGCAUUGUUGAACAUGCUUUCUGGUCCCCAGAAAAAGAUAUUAUAAAUUACGAAGUAUUACUCUUGAUUGAUAACAAGCAUCCUCCCUGUUAUGGGUCGAAUUAAGUCCCCCUAAAAGAUGUUUAAACCUUAACCCCCAGUACCUCAGAAUGCAAAGGUCAUUAGGGUGGACAUGACUUCUGUACUUAUAUAAAGAGGAGAUUUGGACAGAGACAGAUGCACACACAUAGAGAGCACCACAUGCAUACGAAGGUGGAGAUCCAGGUGAGAUGCCAACGAUUGCCAGGAAAGCUGGCAAAGAAGCUGAGAGAGAAGCAAAGAACAGAUUCUCCCUCUAAGUCCUAACGAGGAACCAACACUGCUGACUUCUUGAUCUUGGGUUUUUAGUCUCCAGAACUGUGAGAUAGUAAGUUUCUGUUGUUUCAGCCACUUUGUCUUUGUCAUGGCAGCUCCAGCAAAAUAAUAUUCACAAUGAUCUCAACCAUGAUUAUAUUCAAAACUAUAUUGAUCAUAUUGAAAAUUGUAUCAAAGACUCACAUAUUCCCAGCCCUAAGUACAAACAAAUACAUGCUUUUAAAAUUCCACCUGUUUUCCUAAACUAUUGCAGCUGCUGUUUUCCUAAACUAUUGCUGCAGCCUUGACCUCUUUCGUGGCCACUGCAUUAUUUCAUUGUGCUUUGGUUUGUUUUUUUAUUUUUUUUGAGCAUAGUUGGCACACAAUGUUACAUUAGUUUCAGGUGUACAACAUAGUGAUUCAACAUCUCUCUAUGUUAUGCUGUGCUCACCACGGGUAUAGCUACCAUCUGUCACCAUGCAAUGAUAUCACCAUAUCAUUGACUGUGUUCCUUGUAUCUUUUAUUCCUGUGAUUUACUCAUACUGUAACUAGAAGCCUGUACCUCUCAACCCUCUUCAUCCAUUUUGCUCAUCCCCAAGCCAACCUUGUUCUCUGUAUGUAUACGUCUGAUUCUACUUUUUGGUUGCUUAUUCAUUUAUUUGGGUUUCGUUUUGUUUUUUCUUUUAGAUUCCACAUAUGAGGAAAAUCCUAUGGUGUUUGUCUUUAUCCGACUUACUUCAUUUAGCAUAAUACUCUUGGCCCAUCCCUGUUGUUGCAAAUGGCAAGAUAUCACCCUUCGUUAUGGCUGAAUAAUAUUCCAAUAUGUGUGUGUGUGUGUGUGUGUGUGUGUAUAUAUAUAUAUAUAUAUAUAUCUCACAUCUUCUUUAUCCAUUCAUCUGUCUGUGGACACCUAGGUUACUUCCCUAUCUUGGUUAUUGUGAAUAAUGUCGCAGUAAACAUAGGGACACAUAGAUCUUUUUGAAUUAGUGGUUUUGUAUUCUUUGGGUAAAUACCCAGUAGUCCCUGAAUUACUGACUGCUGUUUUAUAUUCUCUUAGAUAUGCAUUAGCUUUUCUGUUGUUAUUGUUGCUCUAUUUGCUUUUCACCCUGUUAAAUCUUUAAGGUAGUUGACAUGAACCUUAUUUUGUAUUUCACUAGUUAAAACUGAGAAUCAGUUCAGUCUACAAAGCAACUUUAAAUGUCUGUGCAGUCAAGUUGAUUAUAACCUUGUGUCUUACCUACAUCAUCCCUCAGACUCCCGUUCACCUUGAUCAUCAGCAGCACCCUAAUAUCCCAUUAGGGGAAAUCCUUAACUCUAAUAUCCCUUUUGGGAAAUUCCCCAAGGCUAAAUGCCUCCUCUCAGGAAUGAAGGGAUUCAAAUCCUUCCUGGUCCCUUAGGAUAGUCAGGGAGUGGGCAUAAAACCCAAACAACCCAUCAAGCCUCGUUCCUGGGAUGUGGAAUCCAGAGCAGGAAUCUUUUUGGAUUUCAGAGUCUUCCCAGCACAACACAAAGACCAGAUGGAUUCUGCAUCAUUUCUUUUCCUUUGCCUUUGCCUUUUCUUUUCUUUUCUUUUCUUUUCUUUUCUUUUCUUUUCUUUUCUUUUCUUUCUUUCUUUCCUUCUUACUUUCCUUCCUUCCCCUCUCUUUUUGACUUGAGGUAACAGAGUAGGUCUAUGUGGCUUGAAAUCAAGAAACUUGACAGAUUCAAGAGGUAAUGAAGAGAGACUACUAGACUAAGGUGCAGUUGCACUUCAUAUAAGGAGUGCGAUAUGAAAAAAAUCUUAGCCAGUCUGAGUCUGUUUGCUAAUGCAGAAUGUGAGUCUAAUACUUGCCUUCCUAAAAGCUCUUUGUUACUCUUAAGCAUGAUGAAAAUGCGCUGGGAUAACGAUGAUGAUACUAAAGAUGGUGAUGAUGCUGCAUUAGAGUCUCAUAAAAUAAAUACGCCAGUAAAAAAAAAAAAAAACAGAGAGAGGUGAGGUGUAGGGUGGAAUACUUAAUUUACUUAAAAAAAAUUACAUAAUAGAUUCUGAGUAUUGGAAUAAAAUAUUUGAAAAUCAUAGUACAUUUUCAUGCACAAUGAAAGAAUGAAUUAUUUCUUAAAAGAUGUAUUUAAUACUGCUUAAAUAACAUUCCUUUCCUCUUGGUUAAUUUGUCUUGUAAAUAUGGAUUUCUUUGUUUCAGAUUUUCUUUUUUUUAAUUUUUUUUUUCAACGUUUAUUUAUUUUUUGGGACAGAGAGAGACAGAGCAUGAACGGGGGAGGGGCAGAGAGAGAGGGAGACACAGAAUCUGAAACAGGCUCCAGGCUCUGAGCCAUCAGCCCAGAGCCCGACGCGGGGCUCGAACUCCCGGACCGCGAGAUCGUGACCUGGCUGAAGUCGGACGCUUAACCGACUGCGCCACCCAGGCGCCCCUGUUUCAGAUUUUCUUAAGGGGACUUCUAUCUGUAGGAUAUGCCACCCAUAUCAGAUCGUAUAAUCAUAUCCCCAAAAUGCAGUGCCUGUGAGAUCUUUUGUUUAUACCCUAAUGGUUGGCUAUGUUUUGUUUUGUUUUUUUUUUUAGUGUUUAUUUAUUUUGAGAGAGAGAGGCAGAGAGAGUGGAAGAGAGCAAAUUCCAAGCAGGCUCCACACACAGAACAGAGCCCCACCCUGGGCUCAAUCUCACCAACAAUGAGAUCAUGGCCUGAGCUGAAAUCAAGAGAGGACGCUUAACCAACUGAGCCAUCCAGGUGUCCAGGCCAUGUUUUUUAAAUAAACAUUUUUAUUGAAUUAUACAUUCAGAAAGGUAUACAAAAGUACAGGUUAUUGAAUUAUCACAAAGGGAACACAUCCAUGUAAACACCAGCUAGGUCAAGAAAUCAAGCAUUCUGAGAAGCCCAGAAAAUCUUCAUGCCCCUCCCAGGCCAUAUUUAAACUUUCUGAAUUGCCCUGAGUUUUAAUGCCACAGAAGAAUUUUUCCAGUUUUCGUAUUUUAUAUAUGUGGAAUUGUAAACUAUGCAUCAUUUUGUCUAAGGCUUCUAUGGGUCAACACUACAUUUUUGAGAUUCAUUAUGGUUGUUGAGCACAGCAGCGUUUCCUUCAUUACUGUGUGUUAUUCCAUUGUAUAAAUCUACCACAAUUGAUUGGUUCAUUCGACUCUUUACAGAAGUUUGAAAUAUUUCUAGUACAAGGCAGUCACAAAUGAUAUUGCUUCAAACAUUUUUUACUGUGUUUUGGUGUACAUACGCAUUUCUGUUGGAUGUUUGCUCGGGGGAGUAAUUGCUGGGUCAUGGAGUAUGAAUAUGUUCAAAUUUUGUAGAUACAAGACAGUUUUCCCAAAGAGGUAUAGAUCACCAGCAAUGCUCUGCAUCUUUGUCAACACUUGAUGUUAUCGGUUAUUUUUUUAAUGUCUAUUUAUUGAUUUUGAGAGAGAGAGAGAGAGAGAGAGAGAGGGAGAGAGAGAGAAUGAACACCUGGGAGGACAGCGAGAGAGGGAGAAAGAAUCCCAAGCAGGCUCAGCACUAUUAGUGCUGAGUCCCACUCAAGGCUCGAUCUUACGAAUCGUGAGAUCAUGACCUGGGCCAAAAUCAAGAGGUGGAAGCUUAACCGGCUGAGCCACCCAGGCGCCCCUAUUCAUUCUUUAAAUUCCAGAUAUUCUAGUGGGGUUUAUUGUUAUCUCCUCAUAGUUUUAAUUUGCAUUUCCUUGGGGCGCCUGGGUGGCUCAGUCGGUUGAGCAUCUGACUUCGGCUCAGGUCAUGAUCUCACGGUUUGUGAGUUCGAGCCCCGCGUCGGGCUCUGUGCUGACAGCUCGGAGCCUGGAGCCUGCUUCAGAUUCUGUGUCUCCCUCUCUCUCUGACCCUCCCCCAUUCACGCUCUGUCUCUCUCUGUCUCAAAAAUAAAUAAACAUUAAAAAAAAACAAUAAAAAAUAAAUUUGCAUUUCCUUAAUUUUGACACAAAAAAGAAAAAUUACAUCAUUUUUCAUGAUUUACACUCAGGGAUGUGUAGAGAGAGAAACCACCCCAAAUGAGUUCAAACAUUACAACCUUGCCCUCAAAAUGAACACAUAUACUUGAAUCUGCAGAUAGGUAGGUGAUCAGGUAUAUGACUAAGGAGUUCUUCAAAUAGCUCCCACCCAGAAUUCAAUGUUUAUGAAGGGAUAAGUAAUAAAAAUGAACUAAUGUGAAACUUACAUUUAUUAUUAAAAUUCCACAAUCAUCACAACUGUUUAGAACCCAGACCAAAAAAAGUUUUUUUCCAGGUAGGGUAUUUUAUCAUGAAGUCUGUUCACAUUUCCUGUACAUGGUGAUUUUCAAAAGCAGACCACUUAGAUGAUUUCAUUAUCAUUUUAAAUUCUCUACCCACAGCACACCCACUUACUGACAGAGCUCAGGAUCGGCCACUCCCCUGCCCGGUACUUGGUAACCACUAAGGGGAUUUUAUGCCUAUUUAGGAAUGCUAAUAUGUUAAAAGGUGAAGAUUGGCCGGCACUUUAUUCUGUACGAACACAGACUAAUAAUAUUAAUUGUUUUUGUUAACUUUUACUAAACCAAGCAUUAAAUUGUAAAUCAGAUGUUCUCUGUGUUUCUUUGCCAUGUUCUGGAUCUUAGAGGAAAGGCUUCCCAUCUUGAGUAUGAUGUCUGCUGUGGAUUUUUCAUAUAUGGGCUUUAUUAUGUUGAGGAAUCUUCCUUCAAUCUGUCCUGUUGAGUGUUUUUAUCAUGAAAGAGGUGUCAGAUUUUGUCAAAUGCUUUUUCUGCGUCAAUUGAGAGGAUGAUAUGUUCUUUUUUUCCUUCAUUCCUUUUUGAUAUGGCAUAUCAUCUUGAUCAAUUUUUAUAUGUAGAACUAUCCUUACACUUCAGGAAUAAUUCCUAAUUGGUCACGGUGUAUAAUAUUUCUUUUUAAAAAAAUUUUUUCCUGCUGCCCUAAAUUAUUUCCACCUACCUUCCCAAUUUAUCUCCUCUAGUUUGAAUGAAUUUCUGUGCCUUAAAACUCAAAGAGCCCAGUUUAUAGUAGAUGCUGGAAAAAAGUUACCUUUGAACCUUAAUUUACUGGGUUCUCUCUCUGCUAACUCUUGGAAACUAGUGGAAGUCAAAACAUUAUACUAUUACUGCUUCUUAUUCUAGUAAGUAAGAGGAUUUUAAAGAGAGAGAACACGUUUGUGGGAGGUACUGGUAAGGGACUUGGUCAUUGGCAUCAUUAGCUCACCUAUAUCUUUGCAGCCACUGAGUGUGUUGAUUGGCAGAUGUACAUGAUGAGGACAACAUCAACACUUAACUAGGUACAGAUGGGAGGAAUCAGAAACAGGAACAUUCUACACUGACAUGUCAUUAUUUCUUUAAUUAGCAUGAUCAUUUUGAGGCACAAUAUCUGUUUCCAGCUUGGAAGACAAGGGCACUGAGAUGCCCCAUCAUGGUCCAAUAAGAUUUCAUGAGACAAUAUUGUUUUUCUUGUAACUUUCUUUCCAUAUUUUAUCAGUUAUAUGGUAAUUAUUUAACGUCUUUACUAUGACAUACCUUGGUAGAGUGGGAUAGUCUAGAUUAACAUAAUCUUGCUCCUUUAUUGACUGUUAGUAUGAUUUUUUCAAAAGUCCUGGGCACUAAAUAGAAACUGCUUUAAGCUAAUGCACAGGAAUGUCAGCACAGCUAGAGGGAUUAGUCAAUGGAGGCUGAAAUUCUGCACUAAGAAAGCAUGAUAGUUAAGAGUUGAAGGGCGCCUGAGUGGCUCAGUGGGUUGGACGUCCAGCUUCGGCUCAGGUCAUGAUCUCAUAGUUCAUGAGUUUGAGCCCCACGGCGGGCUCUGUGCUGAUAGCUCAGAGCCUGGAACCUGCUUUGGAUUCUGUGUCCCCCUCUCUCUGCCCCUUCCCAGCUCAUUCAUUCUCUCUCUCUCUCAGAAAUAAACAUUAAAAAAAAAUUUUUUAAAAACAAAGUUGAAGCAGAUUAUCUAUGGGUUUUGGCUUUGAGCCCUAGGAAAUAGAUAUUUUAUAUAAUUAUAAGGUAAGAUUAACUAUCCAAGUAUUAUUUAUUGCCUUAUAAUAUUUGGCCCUUUAUCCAUCCCUUAAUAACUACUAUUAUUUAGUAAAUAACUAUUACAUUAAUAGGUAGAGUGCCACACAUAAUAACUAUUAUAAAGUCGGUAUUCAUACAUAGCCUAUUUAAUUCUAUUACUACAUAGUAAUUCAAAUAUUAACUAUACAAAUUUCAUAUAUACUAUUCAUUGCAUAAUAAUAUAUAUAGCACUUAUCUCCAUAUAGUUCCCAGUAUGUGGUUGUAUUAGUAUUUUAUACUAGUAGUACUGGCAAUUAGUAAUCAUUUCCUAAACAAUGAAUAUAUAGAAAAUGAUUUCAACAUUCCAUGUGAAGCCUCCUUUAUCUCUCCCACUCUACCCUUAGGCUAGAAGAAUUGGGCAAUAGCCAUCACAUUUCCAGGCUUCUCCGAGAGACCUAAAAUUAGUGAAACUGGACCUGAGUCUUGAAGGAUAAGUAGGGAUGUUAGGAAAAGAGAGUGCAGGGCUUUCCAGGGAAGGGCCAGCACGUGUGAAUUCCUAGCGAUGCCUGCCACCUCAGAGGGUGGUUGGAAUGGCUGGUCUACCUCCUGGCCCUUCAGCCUCACAUUCCUGGGGCUCUUCCCAAGUGGCCUCUCUUCCACAAAAUUGUCUGACUUCUUUAACAAAGUCUGGCUUCCGAGAAAGCAAAGGCAGGCUUUGUUAGGCUCCUUAAGGACUAGAUCAGGCUUUGAGGUCAUUUCCGUCACAUUCCGUUGCUCAACGCAAGUGAUAAGGCCAGCACAGAUUCAAGGGGAAGAGAAUUAGCCUUUACCUCUUGAUAAGGGAUUGAUGUGUCCAUAAGGAUGGGAAGAAUUAAAUACUAGUAUAUGAAAAAGGAUUGUUCCUUGAGACUUGGGAAUGGGAAAAUCCCAGAUUAGCCAUAACCCUUUUAUUUUUGAAUCUCAUUAUGCUUUGGAUAACCUUACUCAAAAACUGCAUUUGUUUUAGUAUGUGAAGAUGAAAACAGAAAGAAAAAAAGAAAUCUCUGCCGAGGAAAUGUGCUAAGUUUCCCAAACUAAAACCACACCUGAGUCUCAUCUAUUUGAUACUAUCCACAAAACAACCUAAAAUUAAUAGGUAUUUACCUGCGCCUGUUAGAAUAUUUAUUUCACUAGCAAAAUCAUCUCAAGUAUCAAAUUCUAGACAUCUUCUGUUUAUACCAAUACUGUCAAAGAGACUUUGUCUAAAACAGAUUUGUGGCUUAUUAGGUGAUCAUUUUUGUUAGAUUUUAUAUUAGAUGGAGUUCAGUUGUAGAAAACAGACACUACUCCCUUAAGAAGAAAGGGACUCACCACAUUGAGUUAGGCGCGUCCGAACUCACUGGAAAAGGAGGAGCACGCUCCGGGAUGCCUCAGAUGAACCCUGCAGAAGGGUCCACCAGAGGACCGCUAACUGUCAUAAUCAGGAAGUAAGUCAGGAAGAUGCAGUCUCAGUUGGCCCACCAGCUUGGCCAUGUUCUAGGGAAAGUGUAUUGCCUGCAGGUGUUGUCUGGGGUCAGAGGAUGGAGAAGCCACCACCCCAACCUGUUGGCGUUAAGACCGUGCACACGUGAAGACUUGUAGAAGGCCAAAUGCAAAUUAAAAAUAAGGAAAAACAGGGGCGCCUGGGUGGCGCAGUCGGUUAAGCGUCCGACUUCAGCCAGGUCACCAUCUCGCAGUCCGGGAGUUCGAGCCCCGCGUCAGGCUCUGGGCUGAUGGCUCAGAGCCUGGAGCCUGUUUCCGAUUCUGUGUCUCCCUCUCUCUCUGCCCCUCCCCCGUUCAUGCUCUGUCUCUCUCUGUCCCAAAAAAUAAAUAAACGUUGAAAAAAAAAUUAAAAAAAAAAAUAAGGAAAAACAAGUUUGAUUCUUCUUAUUGAAAAAGGUGACGCACCUCUCCCUCUCCCUUUUCUUAGAGCAUUUGCUUUAGAAAACUUGUAACUUCUCUGCUUCUUUAAAAUGCGUGUAACUCUUUUUCAAAAUGAAAUACGCCCUAGCCAAUUUUAUAACCCAGGAAUGUUUCCUCAAGCACCUGGAAACCAGUUCUUUGAAAUAUAAUCAUCAGGGAAGAUAGUGUCCCUAUGUUCCAGUUUCCGUGCAAGGGGAGGAGCCUAAUUUCAGCUGGCACCUGGCUCCACGUUGCAAACUUACCUCCUGUCAUAAUGAUACGAGAGAUUAGUUUCCCUUUGGAUAAAGGCAACGCGCAAACACAGGUGCCUGCCUGCCCCAAUUCCUAGAUGAAUUUAGGAUCAACUGUGGGUGGUGAAUGGUGCUCUCCAGGCCUCACUUAAGGACGGGUUACUGUUUGUCUUGAGAACACGUAAGGCAUGGGUUGUGUCUGCUUGGCUAUAUAAAACGGUAAGAUUGCUUUUUGUCUUUGCAAUCUCUUAGAGGAUUGUCUGUAAUUCACAGAGCAUUCUAGCUUAUGCUUACUCAAUAAUAAAACUGUUUUCUUUCUUUUAGACCUAUGUGGAGAGGUUUUCUGAGUUUUCAGGAGAUUUUCUUUUUGUGUUUCCCCAACACUUACAUGCCAUCAGCUUCAUGUCUCUGCUACCACUUAUUUUUUUUUUUUUCAUGGAUUCAAGUCUUGCAUGAGUAUCUCUGAUAGAUAAAACCUAAAUCACAAACAGAACCCGAAUUUUGGAUGAGCCUGGGAAAUGCAGUUUUAUCCUAAAGAAUAAAGUCCUAAACUGCUAGCCAAGUAGUGACUAAGGUGUUAUGAAAAUUACGUAGUCUAACUGAGCUUCAAUUUCCCCUUUAAAUCCUGGAGGAACCCCAGUAUCUGAAUUUUUCUAGCUGCAACUAAUACGGGCAUCAGUACCUGCCAGAUGUCAGUGAUACUUAAUGACCAGUUUUGAGCAUCUGCCCGGCAAUAGGCCCCAAGCUACUUAUUUUUAGCUCUCACAACAACCCUGCAGGUUGUGUGUAAUUAUUUGAAUUUUACUCAUGAAGACACUAAGGUUCAAACAGACCGCGUGCCUUGUCCCAAACUACACAACUAGAAAGCAGAAGAGUCAAGAUUUCCAUUUGCAUGUUUUGAUCCAUUCGCCUGUUUCAUGACUCCCCCUUUUCCCCUACAGGGCCCGAGACAAAGCCAGUGGCGUUUUCUCCCACUACACCCACUGAGUCUCAUUACUCCUACUAAAGUUAAGAAAGUGCUUUCAAGAUAAAGAAAUGGAGACUCUUCCAGAGGUGGCUUAACUCAGGACUUCUACGGUACUGCCGCUGACGUUCCCCUUCUCCCAGCCCACGCCUGACCACUUCCAUGAGUGGGGGACAGGGCAGCAUCAAAGCCUGGUUCCGCCUCUCACCAGCCAGAUGAUGCUGGGUAGGUCACUUGACUUUUCUAAGCCUCGAUCAACUUGCAAAUUUUUAAAACACAGAUAAAAAUAGAAUCUGCCUCACAGGUUUGUGAGGACUAAAUGAGAUAGCACAUACAGUGCUUGCGUCAGGGGCCACUGGGUGGCUCAGUUGGUUAAGCAUCUGACUGGAUUUUGGCUCAGGUCGUGAUCUCACCGUUGGUGAGUUUGAGCCCCGCACUGAGUUCUGUGCUGAUGGUGCAGAGCCUGCUUGGGAUUCUUUCUUUCUUUCUCUCUCUGCUCCUCCAGCACACUCUGUCUCUCAAAAUAAAUAAAUAAACUUAAAAACAACAACAACAACAAAGUGCUUGCCCCAUAGAAUGCACAGGAUAAAGGUUAGCACUCAUGAUUCUAGAAUGAUCAAACUUAACAGCUCACAAAGCAGUGCCUUCUCAUUCAAGGCAGCCUAAUUAUUGAGAAAUUAUUUCUUCUACAAAACAGAAUUUUGCCUCUAGUAUUUUUCAUUCACUGAUCAUAAGUAUGCCUUCUGGGGAAAAACAAAUAAACAAUCAUACUCUGUCUUCUAUGUAAUGACCCUUUGAAUAUUUGAAGAUACAUUUUCCCUACAUUUCCCUACACGUUCCUCUCUCCAGGCUAAUACUUCACAGUCCCUUCCAUUGACUGUGAUAUCACUGUCAGACCCUAUGCUAUCCUGUUUGCCCUUUAGACCCUCUCUAGUUUAUCACUGGGAAUAAUAUGGGGCUCAGAAGUGAGCACAAUACUCCAGAAGUGCUAUGCCAACACCGAAAUUGAAAGUAUUUGGGCACCUGGGUGGCUCAGUCAGUUGAGCAUCCAACUCUUGAUUUUGGCUCAGGUCAUGAUCUCAUGGUUCAUGAGUUUGAGUCCCAUGUCAGGCUCUGUGCUGACAGCAUAGAGCUUGCUUGGGAUUCUCUCUCUCCCCCUCUCUCUCUGCCCCUCCUGCAUGCUCUCUCUCUCUCUCAAAAUAAAUAAGUAAACUUGAAAACAAAGUAUUAAUCUCUCUUGGUCUGUACAAUUUAACUUAACCUAACCAUAGGAUUAGCUUUCAACAGCCUCAUUAGGCUGUUCACCUACAUCAACUUUACGUCUGCCAGCUUCCCUCCCCUAACACACGCUCAUGGCUUUUGUGUAUGAACUACUCUUUAACAAGUUCUUCUUGCCAUUUACAUUUUAUUUCAUCUUUAUUUCACAACAGUUUUGACUUUCAUUUCAGUCUGUCAAGAGCUUUUUGAUAUUGAUUUCAUUGUUCAGCAUAGAAGCAAGCUCUCUGGAUUAAUCAGGAUUAGAUGUGGCUAUCAAUAACAUGACACUAAGACACCAUAAUGCACACAACAUAGAAAUGCAUUCCUGUCUUAUGUGAACAAAGACCAUAGGUAAACACUUCAGCACUGGAAUGAUGACUUUCUGAUCAUCAGGGAUGCUGACCCUUCAACUUGGUUUUAUUGUCCUAAACACCUCCUUCAUUUCAUAGUUCAACAUGAAGGCUAGAGAUUCAGCUGUUAUAUCCACUCUCCAGCCAACAAGAAGUAGAAAAGAGCCAAAAAGUUGGUCUCUGAUUUAAGACGACCGCCCCAAAGUGCCAUUCCAUGUAACACUUUGAUUUACAGACCCUUGAGAAGUGAUUUUUUUAAUGUUUAUUUAUUUAUUUUGAGAGAGAGAGUGAGAGAGAGUGUGCAUGCAGGUGAGUGGGGAAGGGGCAGAGGGAGAGGGGGGAGAGAGUAGCCCAAGUAGGUUCCACGUUCAGCAUAGAGCCCAUUACCAUGAAAUCAUGACCUGAGCCGAAAUCAAGAGUCAGGCAUUUAACCCACUGGGCCACCCAGGUGCCUUGAGAAAUCAUUUUUUAUAGGGAGCAGAAUUUUGCCUCUAGUACCUUUUAUCCAUUGGUUAGAACAUAGCCACAUGGCCACAACUACCUACAAGAGAGGCUGAAAAAUGCUAUCUCUAUUCUGAGCGACAGUUCAGGAUAAAAAGAACAGUUAUAUUAUUAAGUAAGAGGGUGAGAACAGGUACUCAGAGACAACGAGUAGUGUCUGUCACACCCUCCCAGAUUUAUGUUCUUAGUAAAUGUGAGAGCCCUCUUUCUAUGGCUUCAUUCAUAUCAUUGAUAAAAAUCUUUUAAGAGGGCCCAGGCAUGGGCACACUCCGCAAGUGAGACCUCCUCCCAUGUCCAGGAGUGCAAAGUGCCUUAAUCAUCGUUCAUUCAACAAGUCCCCCAAAUACAGCAAGGCUGGGGGUGCGGGUUAUAGGGCAGGAUGGGGAUUCGUUAAAGUCAAAGCAUACACCAUAUCCUGCACUCCUGCACAAAUGAGGAAAUGAGGAUGAGAGAAAAGAUCCAAGAACAUACAUGCCCUUUCUUUUAUUGCUUUUAGUGUCGUUACUUUGUCACCUUGGCCUAUAGGUCUUACUUGAUUACCUUCUGCUAAAUUAAGGAGGUUAAAACCAAACACUUUCUAGCUUGUUGUCUCUACAUUUUUAGUUCUGAAUCUCAGAUUUACUACCUUCAUUUUUUUUUUAAUUUUAUCAUUGUUUUUGUUUGUUUUUAUUUAAAGUCAGGUUAAUUACCAUACAGUGUAGUCUUGGUUUCAGGAGUAGAAACUGGUGAUUCAUCACUUACAUAUAACACACAGGGCUCCUCACGUCAAAUGUCCUCCUUAAUGCCCAUCACCCAUUUAACCCAUCCCCCCACCCACCUUCCCUCCAGCAACCUUCAGUUUGUUCUCUGUAUUUAAGAGUCUCUUAUGGCUUGCCUUCCUCUGUGUUUUUAUCUUAUUUUUCUUUCCCUUUCCCUGUGUUCAUCUGUUGUGUUUCUUAAAUUCCAUAUGAGUGAAUUCAUAUAUUUGUCUUUCUUUGCCUGACUUAUUUUGUUUAGCAUAAUACACUCUAGUUCCAUCCACAUCGUUGCAAAUGGCAAGAUUUCAUUCUGUUUCGUUGCCAAGUAGUAUUCCAUUGUAUAUAUAUGUCACAUCUUCUUUAUCCCAAAUGUCCAUCAACUGAUGAAUAAAGAUUUAUCACCUUUUUUUUUUUUUUCAACAUUUAUUUAUUUUUGGGACAGAGAGAGACUGAGCGUGAACGGGGGAGGGGCAGAGAGAGUGGGAGACACAGAAUCGGAAACAGGCUCCAGGCUCUGAGCCAUCAGCCCAGAGCCCGACGCAGGGCUCGAACUCACGGACCGCGAGAUCGUGACCUGGCUGAAGUCAGACGCUUAACCGACUGCGCCACCCAGGCGUCCCAAGAUUUAUCACCUUCUUAAAUGCAAGAACUAUAGGGCCCAAUGACUGCCCCCCACUCCCCAGCAGUUUUCUAUUCACAAGUGGGCCUAUCACACAGUCUCAGAUCAGGAGCAAGCAAGACUCCAGAGCACCAAGCAUUGCCUAAACCUCCAUGCUGGUCUGGGUCCAACCUUAUUCACCACUCUCAACAGGAUAAUUCAUUACACGAGCAACAUUUGGAGGCAGUGUCUAUACCUCAACUGUGUCUGUUUAACUUAUCUCUAAAACUCAGAGUUCAUUUCGAUUUCAAGAGUAAGAAUUUUAUUCUUCUGUUUGAGUCACUACAUGCAUGAAAUUGUUACAAGUUUUUAUUUCUUCACCCUACCUCUUUGUCAUGCUAUGCCAAAGAUGGUGAAAGUAAAAAAGUAAUAAGUAAAUAAGAGUUUGCUCGGCUAUUUCUUCAAACAAAUAACAAAUAGCUCAUAUGUGAGAGUAUGUGUGGUGACUUAAAAAUGGCCACAGAUUCUUGGCAGCCCCUCCCGUCAAGAGGUGGAAUCUACUUCCACACUCCCUGAAUCUGGGCUAGGCUUGUGACUCUGCUGCGACCAGUAUAAUGCAAUGGAAGUGACAUUGAGUGAGUUCUGAGUCUGGUCUUAGGAAGCCAUACGGCCUCCAUCUUGUCUUCUUGGGAUCCUACAGCCCAGGCUGACCUGUUGAAGAAAGAGAGACCACCUGGAGCCAAGACAAAACAUUCCAGAGGAUCCUCUCUAGACCAAAUAGCUCCCAGCUGACCAGCUCACAAACUGAAUCCACGUGAGUGACCCUAAACAAUACUGGCAGAACAGCCUAGGUGACACCCAGAACUGGGAGUAAAUAAAAUGACUUUUGCUACAGUAGGUAACUGUAGAUAAUAAUACAGUGUGGAUUACUAACUCUUCGUGUUGCUAUAGGGAUCAAAAACCAUGACUGUAACACGCCUCGUCCAGGGCCUGGUAUACACUGUGUGCUCAAUAAAUGUUACACGUGUUAUUAUUUUUCAACUAACGGUAUAUUUCAGAAGUUGUAGCGAGUUAAAAGUUAAAUGGAUUUUAUACGACCAACUUAAUUAACUUAUUUUAGACCAACUCAGCUUAUAAUUUAGAUGUAAUACUUAAUAAACCAUGGUUGGAAAUAAAAGUUUACAUCGAAAUCUUAAGUUGCCUGAAGAUAAUUACAUUCAUUAUAGAAAAGCAAUGAAUUAAAUAUUAGAAGGAAUGGUUUGCAAUCCAGUCCUUCACUGCAAAUAACUCAGUGGAGUCAAGCAAUAUUUGCUACUGCUUUCAAAGCUUCUGAAGGGAAAAUAUUCCAAGAUUUCCCUUUGUGACUUUUUCCUCCAAUAGGCAUGAGUACUCCUUUGUGUCUCAACAAAUUCCACUAAAAACCGUUAUCAUCUGCUUGCAUGCUCAACUGAACUGCAGAGCAUAUUGCCACAUUCCUAUUACUACUGUGCAAACACUUGAGGUGCUUUCUAGGUUCAUGUCAUCAAGACUGGUAAAAAUGCUGAUAGGCAAUCUUUUGCGGUGAGUCCUAUCUCGAUAAAUAAACUUAUCUCACGAAGAGUUACUCUCACAACAACCCUGUGAUGUUAGGCAAAUAUUUCCCAUCUUGUUUCUUUGUUUGCUUAUUCUUUUACCUUAUUUUAUACAUGAGAAAAUUGACAUCCGAGGAAAUUGAAUACUUUUGCUAAAAUAAGAGAGAUAGUACAAGGUAGAGUCGGUAUUCGAAUCCCUCUUACUCGGCAAGUGACUAUAAAUUCAGGGCUCUGUUUACUAAUUCCACUAAUGAUGACGACAUUGAAAGCAGAGCUUCACCAAGGGGACAAUAUGCCCUUCCUGCAAAAAUGGGUUCUUGGGUGUAAAUUCUUUUUUUUGUUUUUUUUUUUUAGAUAUUACAAUGGUUUAUGGCCCUCUGAAGAGCCACAGAACAUAAACAAAUGUAAAGAAUAUCUGUGGUAUUAACAUUUCAUAGGGGGUAAGGGCAAUUAGGGGAAAAAAAAUGUCCAAAAUGUUUCCUUAGGGGGUGAUAAUGAAAAGAAGAUUGAGAAACACUGAUGUAACUUUUUUUCCCCUUUUUUUCCUGAGCUUUACUAAGGUAUAACUGGAAGAUAUUUAAAGUGUACAAUAUGAUGCUUUGAUCUACACAAACAUUGUGAAAAGAUGAUCUUCACCAGAUAAAUUCAUGCAUCUAUCAUCUAUUUACCUUUUUUACUUUUUUUUGGUGAGAACAUAACUGUUCUGUCUUAGCAAAUCUCAAUUAUACAAUGUAAAUACAAUUAUACAAUACUAACAACUGUAGUCACCAUGUUGUAUAUUAGAUUCUCAGACCGUAUUCAUCUUAUCACUGAAAGUCUGUACACCUUCUACCAACCUCUCUCUACUUCCCUGACUCUGGCCCCUGACAACUACUUUUUCACUCUCUGUUUCUAUGAGUUAAGCUUUUCUCUUUCUUUUUUCCACCAUUCCUUCCUUCCUUCAUUCAUUCGUUCCUUCCUUCCCUUUCUUUUCCCUCUUUCUCUUUCUUUCUGUUCCACAUAUAAAUGAUAUCAAGCAGUGUUUGUUUUUCUCUGUCUGACUUAUUUUGCUUAGUAUUAUGGCCUCCAGGUCUAUCCAUGUUGUCAAAAAUGAAAGGAUUUCCUUCCUUUUAAGGCUACUUUAUAUAUAUAAUAUUCUUCUCUAUAUAAUAUUCUCUUUCUGAUAUAAAUAAUUACACUUACAUAUUAAUAUAUGUUAUUAUAUACAUCAAUACAUAUUUUGUAUAUAUCACACUUACUUUAUCCAUUCAUCUAAUGACCAACAAUUAAGUUGUUUCCACAUCUUGGUUAUUGUGAUUAAUGCUGCAAAAAACACGAGGGUAGAGAUAUCUCUAGAGAUAAUGGCAUAUUUCCUUUGUUUAUCAGAAGUGGGAUUGCUAGAUCAUGUGGUAGUUCUAUUAUUAUUUUUUCAGGAAACUUUUUAGUGUUUUUCAUAGGGACUAUGUCAAUUUAUAUUUCCACCAACAGUGCCCAAGGGUUUCCUUUUCUCUAUAUCUUUGCCAACAUGUGUUACCCCAUCUUUUUGAUAACUGCCAUGCUAACAGGUGGUGAUAGCUCAUUAAGAUUUUGAUUUGCAUUUCUCUGAUAAUUAGUGAUGUCAAACACCUUUUCGUGUAUUUAUUGGCCAUUUGUAUGUCUUCUUUGGAAAAAUGUCUAUUCAGGUUCUUUGCUCAUUUUCAAUUGAGUUAUUUUUUGCAACUGAGUUGUAGGAGUUCUUUGUAGAUUAUAGAUAUUAACCCCUUAUUAGAAGAGAGUUUGCAAAUAUUUUCUCCCACUCUAUAGGUUGCCUUUUAACUUUAUUGAUAGCUUCUUUUGCUAGAAAGAGGCUUUUUUGUUUGAUGUAGUCCCACUUGUUUAUUUUUAAUUUAACCCAUUUUUAAUCCAUUUAAGUCUUUAAGCCAUUUUGAGUUAAUUUUUGUGUAUUGUUUAAGAUAGUGGUCCAGUUUCAUUCUUUUGCGUGUGGCUGUUCAGUUUCCCAGCACCAUUUAUUGAAAAUACUACCCUUUAACCACUGUAUAUUCCUGGAUACUUUGUAAUAAAUUAAUUGACCAUGUAUACAUGGAUUUAUUUCUGGGCUCUCCAUCCUGUUCCAUUGAUCUAUGUAUCUGUUUUUAUGAAAAUACUUCAUGUUUUAAUUAUGGUAGUUUUGGAAUAUAAUUUGAAAUGAGAAAGUACAAUGCUUCUAGCUUGUUCUUUCUCAAGCUUGCUUUGACAAUUUAGGGUUUUUGUGGUUCCAUGCAAUUUUAGAAUUCUUUUUUCUAUUUCUGUGGAAAAUGCCAAUGGAAUUUUUAUAGUGAUUACAUUGAGUCUGUAGAUUGUACUGGAUAGUUUGUACAUUUUAUUAAUUCUUUCAAUCCAUGAACAUGAAAUAUCUUUUCAUUUAUUUGUGUCUUCUUCAAUUUCUUUCAUCAACAUCUUAUAUAUUCCAGUGUAUAGAACUUUCACCUUCUUGGUUAAAUUUAUUCCUGAGUAUUUUAUUAUUGUUGAUACAAUUGUAAAUAUCAUUGUUUUCUUAUUUCUCUUUCUGAUCAUUAUCUGUUAGUGAAUAGUAAUGCAACAGAUCUUUGUAUAUUGAUUUUAUAGUCUACAACUUCACUGAAUUUAUUAGUUCUAACAGUUACUUGCUGGAGUCUUUACGGUUUUUUAUAUAUAAUAUGUCAUCUGCAAACAGAGAUAAUAUACUUCUUCCUUUCCAAUUUGGAUGCCUUUUCUUUCUUUCUUUUUUUUUUUAUUUUUAUUUUUUUUAACAUUUAUUUAUUUUUGAGAGAGAGACAGAGCGUGAGGGGGGUUGGGGCAGAGAGAGAGGGAGACACAGAAUCUGAAGCAGGCUCCAUGCUCCAAGCUGUCGGCACAGAGCCUGAUGCGGGGCUCGAACUCAUGAACCAUGAGAUAAUGACCUGAGCUGAAGUCGGACGCUUAACCGACUAAGCCACCCAGGUGCCCCAUGGAUGCCUUUCAGUUCUUUAUUUUGUCUGAUGGCUCUGCUAGGACUUUUCCUACUAUGUUGAACAAAAGUGGUAAGAGUGGGCAUCCUUUCAAUAUCCCUACUAGUAAUCAGUCUGUUCUGAUCUUCUAUUUCUUCACAAUUUAGUCUUGGUAGGUUGUGUGUUUCUAAGAAUCUAUCCAUUUUUUUCUAGUUUGUCCAAUUUGUGGGCAUAUAAUUAUAUAUCAUAGCUUCUUAUGAUUCUUUGUAUUUGCUUGGUAUCAAUUAUAAGGUCUCUUCUUUUAUAUAUAAUUUUCUCCUGUUUUCUUGAUAAAUUUAGAUAAAGGUUUUCUGUUUUAUCUUUUUAAAAAAACAACUCUUAGUUUAAUUGGUCUUUCUAUUGCCUCUUUUGUCUCUGUCAUUUAUUUACUCUCUGAUCCUUGUUAUUUCCUUCCUUGUACUAAAUUUGGGAUUAUUUUGUUUUUCUUUUUCCUGCUUUUUGAGGUGUAUGGUUAGGUUAAUUACUUGAGAUCUUUCUUUUUCCUUAAUGUAGGCAUUUAUUACUAUAAAUGUUCUUCUUGGAACCGCUUCUGCCGCAUCCCAUAAAUUUUGGUAUACUGUCCCUUUGUUUUCGUUUCUCCUAAGUGUACCUUUUUUUUUCUUUUUAAUGUUUAUUUAUAUUUGAGAGAGAGAGAGAGAGAGAGAGAAAGGUACACACAAACAGAGUGCAAGUAUGAGAGGGGCAGAGAAAGAGGGAGACAGAAUCUGAAGCAGACUGCAGGUUCCGAGCUGUCAGCACAGAGCCCAACGUGGGGCUCAAACUCACGAGCCUUGAGAUCAUGACCUGAGCCAAAGUCAGACACUUAAGCGACUGAGCCACCCAGGUGCCCCUCUCCUAAGAUAUUUUGUUUUAAUUUAUUUUUGAUUUCUUCUUUGAUCCAUUGGUUGCUCAGGAGCAUGUUGUUUACUUUCAACAUAUUUGUUGUGCUUAUUGUGAUUGAUUUCUAGUUUCGUACCAUUGUGGUUAGAAAGAGGCUUGAUAAUAUCUAAAUCUUCCUAAAUUUAUUAAGACUUGUUUAAUGGCCUAAUAUAUGAUGUAUCCUGGAGAAUGUUCCAUUUGCACAUGACAGGAAUGUAUAUUCUGCUGUUAUUGGAUGGAAUAUUCUGGAAAUGUCUGUUAAGUCCAUCUGAUCCAACAUAUAGUUUAAGUCCAAUGUUUCCUUAUUGAUUUUAUGUCUGGAUGAUAUAUCCAUUGAAGGUACUUUAUUCUUGUGCUUUCAAGAUUUGACUUACUUUCUUACUGGCUCAACUAUAGAUUUAAAAUGAUUUAUUUUGUUGUUUAUCCAGCAUAUUUAGAUGAUGUAGAUAAAAAUCUGGAAGGCUUUCAAGAUAUCUAGCCAAUUACAACACCAGUAACUAAGUUCAAAAUAGUGAUUUUGGAUGACUUCUGUUACCAAGAGUAAAGACUAGUAACAGGAAUUUAGAACUUGGGACUACAGACAGAAUAAGUGCUGUGGGCCCUAGUCUUCAGCUAAAGCAGCAGAAGCUGACCUACUUCUGUACUCCUAUUUGCUUCAUGCUUCUCCAAUUUGCUGAAGUUUUCCUCUAAUCUAGUUCAUAACCCAACACUGUAGCCAUCUUGGCCAUCAUAUUCUUUCACUUACCCUACGGCUUUUUGAAAUAAAAUUAUAAGAUUUUAAGUUAUGCAUGGACUGGGUCCACAAAUGCCCUAAACUUUAUAUGUGUGUGUGUGUGUGAGAGAGAGAUAUGUAAUAUGACAUAUGGUAUAUGUAAGUGCACACACCAUUGGGAUGGCAGUAUUAUGUAAGUCAGUGGAAAAUAUGCUAGGUGGGUUUUACACAGCACUUGUUCUAUUUCCAGGAUGAGGGGGGCAUAUUCUUAUGGUAAUAGACUCUUGUAAAUAUAUAUAGCUGGAUUGUCUCCCAGUCCUCAUCCCCAUUCAACUCUUCAAAAGUAUGCUAUAACUAUUGCCCACUGCCUAUGAGAUCCACCCUGAGACUUGGGAGUACUGAGGAUCACCUAAUCCCAUCAUAGGUCCACUUUUACCACAAACAUAACUAAAGUGUUAUGGUUUAUUCUAGAAGUUGAGCAACAUUUUCACAGAAUCCAUACUCUCAGACCUCUGUUCAAAAAGAAAGGAUAAAUUGAACAUAGAUAAAUUUCAGAGGAAUGUACAAUGCUGUCGCCAAGAACUGGUCCAGUGAGCCCUUAUUCCUAGGAUCUACCUAUCUCUCUCCAGAAAGGAUCCUGGUCUGAACCAGGGCCAUACUCUUCCUCAGAUCCAAGUGGGUGGGCUCCAUGUUAAUUGUGUCACAUGGGUGAGACCAAGGAUGCAUAGGGUGCAGAAACCUACUGGCUAUACUUUGCUUAUGUCGUGUGGCUAAAAAUAAAUCUAAAAAGGUAGAUGACAUACAUUUUAAAGAGAUGUUUAGAUUGACCAUGGGAGGAAAAAUUUUCCCAGAUGGGGACAAAAUGUUAUGGGAGAAGUGGUUUAUGAUUAUGUUUAUUGCUUCCUAAUUCACUUCUAGAUGCUAGUCAGAAAUUGUUCUUCAGUGGGGUGCCUAUGUGGCUCAGUUGGUUAAGCAUCUGACCUCAGCUCAGGUCAUGAUCUCACAGUUCAUGAGUUUGAGCCCCACAUCAGGCUCUGUAUUGACAGCUCAGAGCCUGGAGCCUGCUUUGGAUUCUGUGUCUCCCUCUUUCUCUGCCCCUUCCCCACUCACACUCUGCCUCUUUCUCAAAAAUAAAAAAUAGACAUUUAAAAACAAAAUGGAAUUGUCCUUCAGUAACUAAUAAACUUUUGAGAGAUCCUGGAAUAGAUCAGCUGGUAAAGUAUGAAAACACAAUUUGAAAUAUAAUUGGUGAAUGCUAAUAGGAAAUUUUUUAGAUAGGAGUAUAAUUAUUAAGACUCCUUUGGGGGUGCCUGGGUGGCUCAGUCGGUAGAGCGUCGGACUUCAGCUCAGGUCACGAUCUCGGGGUCCGUGAGUUCGAGCCCUGCGUCGGACUCUGGACUGAUGGCUCAGAGCCUGGAGCCUGCUUCCCAUUCUGUCUCCCUCUCUCUCUGCCCCUCCCCCGUUCAUGCUCUGUCUCUCUCUGUCUCAAAAAUAAAUAAACGUUAAAAAAAAAAAAAAAAGACUCCUUUGGCUGUAAGCAAAAGAAACCCAUGUAGUAAACCUAAAAGAGAAAAAAGUAAUUUGUGAUAAGGACAAAGCCUUGUAUUUCUUCAGAACCAAUAUCUUUAACUGAUACUGUAGUAUAUAUUUACUUAUUUGUUUAUUAUGUCUCCCUCACAAAAAUCUCAUUCUAGGAAGACAUUAACAUUGUCCACUUUUAAUUUUUUUUUUUUGGAGAGAGGAGUGGGGGAGGAGCAGAGGGAGGGAGAGAAUCUCAAGCAGACUCCAUGCCCAGCCCUGAGACUGAUGUGGGGCUCAAUCCCACCACCCUGAGAUUAUGACCUGGGCCAAAAUCAAGAGUUGGAUGCUUAACCAACUGAGCCACCCAGGCACCCCAUGUCUGCUUUAAUUUAAUUUAAUUUAAUUUAAUUUAAUUUAACUUAACUUUAUUUAUUUACUUAUUUAUUUAUUUAUUUAUUUAUUUAUUUAUUUUAGAGAGAGCAUGGGAGGGACAGAGGAAGAGGGAGAGAGAGAAUCUUAAGGUCCAUGCCCAUCAGAGGGUGAUGCAGGGCUUCAUCUCAUGACCCUGAGGUCAUGAUCUGAGCUGAAAUCAAGAGUCAGACGCUAACCAAUUGAGCCACCCAGGCGCUCCACUGUCCACUUUUUUCAAGACUAUUCCAAGUACCCAGAAAAUGGCACCUAGUAUAUAUAAUAAUGCUCAUUAUAAAACCAAAGAAUAAAAAUUUUAUCCCCUAUUCCUCAAAGGGGAGAAUAUAGCUAGCCUACAAGAAAGACUAGAAUCUAGUCAAGAAUAUGCACCUACACCUAUGUAUUAUUUAGUUAAUGAAAAAUAUUUACUAAAGCAACAUAAUUUUAAUUUCUAGAAAUUUAUUCUCUCCAAUUAUUUUGUCUAUAAUCCAUUUGACCUUUACUUUUGCUAAAGGUUCCAGGAACAGGAAUCUAAAGUCCUAUAGAGAUCCCAUUAGACCUGGCUAAAUAUCCCAAGGAAGUCACCUAAGGAAGCACUGUUUUUGCUCAGCACAGAAGUCUGUAAAAUCCUUGGAUUCAUAUUUUAACAUAGGUAAUCCAGGGAAGACAAUGUUAAAUAGUGGCAAUUUAGUGAAAUAGUGAAAUUAUUUCCUAAUAUACUUUUGUAAAAUUUUUCACAUCUUUAUGUGUUGUCUCACAUAAGACAACGGGUCUAAAACAGGACGGUCAUCAGCAAACCUACAUAUGGUUAUCCUAUGUCUGACUCACGUGCAAUCAGAAGAAUGGACUUUUUUGUCUCAGUCCUAUAUUGUGGCCCCUUAUAAAAGUUUCAGGGUAUGGUGAAGUAAAACAUCAAAUAAAAUGAAAUUUGACAUUUGGCAACAAACAUAAAUGUGGACAGGACUAAAGUUUUUCUUUAGGUUACUAUCAAAUUUAAGUUAUUUUACUAUUAUAGAAGUUAGGGAAAUAUACAGAAAACUGAUUUUUAGAAUAAAAUCUCAGAGUCUCAAUUCAUUAUUCCUAAUUUGUACAAAACAUCUGUAAUAUUCUGUAAAUAUCUAUUUAUGUAUUUAUUUUUUUGUCCUACUCAGAAAAUCUUUAUCCAUUCUUUGGUAAUAUCAGCUCCUGCCUUUCUUUGGAGAGUUUGAUCUUAACCUUGUCAUGUAUACAACUGCUAUCACAAUGCCUGCCACUGCUAAAAUGUGGAGGACAUAGGACUCCAGCCUAGCCAAUCAGAGCACUUCUUAGCAGUGGCCACAGUAAUUGGUCCAGAGGGGGAACAUAUGAGCCAAAUUGGCCAGAGUCUGUCCCUGGGAUUUUUUUUUAAUGCUUAUUUAUUUAUUUUUGAGAGAAAGGGAGAGAGAGAGAGAGAGUAAGCGAGCAAGCAUGGGCAGGGGGAGGAGCAAAGGGAGAGGUAGAGAGAAUCCCAAGCAGGCUCCACACUCAGCCCAGAGCCUGACAUGGGAUUUGACCCCAUGACCAUGAGAUCAUGACCUGAGCUGAAAUCAAGAGUCAAAUGUUUAACUGACUGAACCACCCAGAUGCCACUUACCCUGGGAUUUUUACAUAGCCAAAUGGAUAAACACAUAUUCUCACUUUCCCCUGGAGUCACUAAACUUGGAGACUGUAAGCCUGGAGUUAGCUAACUUCCCACCCCUACCAUGUAGGAAGCGAUUGCUCUUCAAUGUGAAAGACCAAAGUUAACAAGCAGAUAAAACAAAGACAACAGAUAACCAUGUAGGCAUUCUGUGUCUAGGCCCCAUGUCUGAAGUUCCCCAGAGUUGUCUGAUCCCUGUAGACGUUCCUAGGCAUCACAGAACAGCCCCCUGAAUGACUUCAUUAAAACAACAUGUUGCUUAAGCUCUCUUAAAUUGAAAGUUAUGUCAUUUGCAAACAUACGAAUAUUAACUGUAGCAGAGACAGCGAGCUGUCAUCACCAACAUGUAUGCUUUCCCUUGCACAGCACCAGGUGUCACCAGCAAACUGUCACCCAGUCAGGAACCAUACUUCCCAAACUCCAGACAUUUAGGUUGGGCCAUGUGAGCUGUACUAAUGAAUAGAAAUGAGUGGAAGUGAUGUGUAUUACUACUAGAUGAUGGCUGUUAAAAAGUGGUUACAUCUUUUUCACCCCCCUUUUUUUUUUCUUCCAUUAGUGGAUGCAGAUAGCAAAGUGUUAGGGAUGGUGAAUCUAGAAGAUACAACAAGCCAAAAACUCUGAAUCACUAGUUGGAGGAGAGUUGCCCACUGACCUCUUUGGGACUUUAUAUUGAGAGAGAAACUUCUAUCGUACCUAUUUGAACAAUUAUAUAUUUCAAGGAUUGAAUGUUAUAGAAGCUACUGAUUUUGUAAGUAAUAUACUAACCAUUCUAAUCUCUAAUCUUAAUUUUUUCAUGGCUAUUGAAGUUUUCUUUGAGUCUCAUAGUGAACAUGAAAGAUAGUGUAGAAAAGAUAACGUAUAAAUGUUACCCCUUUAACGAAACGUGGAAAUCUGAGAAGAAUUUAUUGUGUGAUAAAGGAAUGGCAUUCUAGUAGAAGAGAAGUACGUGUACAAAACAUGGAGGCAAGUUAAAAGCAUAGAAUAUUUGGAGAAAAGCAAGUCACCUACUUUUCAUGAGGAAAGCAGAAGGGCAAUGGGAGAUCAGUUGAAGUGGCAGGUGGGAAUCUCUGGGUUCCCAUGACCACAAUCAUUAUAUCACCUUCAAGGACAGAAAGGGCAAGAAAUUCCUUAGAGAGACUUUUGCUAGGAUCCAUGGCAUGUGUAUCAGGAGACAAAAAUGCUAAUACACUGCACGUGAUUAACAGAGUUAAGAACUAGGCUAGUUCCAGAGGCACUAAGUUCCAAAUUGAACUUGAACUUGACGGUAUCCGAUGGCUUUUGCAGUAGCUUUGAAUGAUACUGCCUAAUAAGAACUUUUGCAUGUUAUGAUGACAAACUAAUGUAAAUGAAUCUUCUCUCUUAGGGUGUAGGCAUAGAAAACAGGGAGAGCAAAUCACUUAAGCUGUGACUACAAACAAAAUAGUGCAAAAACAUUGUUACAAUUCUCCAGUAGGUUUAUGGAACGACCCAGUUAUGAAAAUAUCAAGACCUAAGGCCAAUUUAUAACGGGAAAGUAAGACAUUAGCCCAAGUUAUCUUGUUUUAUCUUUAUUUGUCCUGCUAAACCUCCAUUACCAGUGGUGAUCUGGGUGCACUAUUCCCAAGCCACCUUAGAAACAAAAGCACUCAACCUUUUACGCCACACUAACAAGUUAGUAUUUUAUCUUGAAUGGGCAAGCUACUCCUACCACCAGUUAACAACCAUAAUAUCAGCUCCCAGGAAAUUUAACAAUUGCAUUUUUUAGUGCAGGCUUAUUUGACCUCCAGAAAAUAAUCUUGGACUCUGACACAGAACAACUUUACACUAAGUUAAAGAAAUAAGUAGGUAAGAGUAAAUCAAAUGAAACUACUGUUUUAUAACACACAAAAGUAAUAUUUUAAAGUAGUCUAUCUGUUGACAAGACACCGAUACUUGGGAAAUCCUGUGGGUGAAUUUGGCAGGCUCGAGUCCUUGAUUUUGCAGUUACAAACCUUGCUGGCCAAAAAGUGGCCACGGAGGCAAAGGGAUACUCUUAAGAUAGUGCCAAUAAGUGAGAUAAAAAUCAAAUAGAAGGAUUGUACAUCGCAAGACAGAGUCGUUGAUUUAUCAGUCCAGUAUUUUAUGUUAUUUUCGCAAUAAAAAUUUCUCAACCUGUUUUUCACAAGAUAUUAUUUGGCAUUUUACAACAAAAAGUUUCUGAUCAACUGUACUGGGAAAAUGUUGCUUAAAUACAUUUGAUCAAAUUUCCCACUGAGGGCAGGGAGCAUUUCUAACCCAAUGAAAACUUUCCUGAAUAAACAUUAGUCUUUAAUAAUAAGUUCACGCAUACCACACCAUCACCCCAUUUUCCCACCAUCUUCUCAGCCAGCAAGAACUUCCUUGUUUGACAAUAUGCCACACUAUGUGCUCUUGUCAAUCUCCUGUAACCCCUAAACCCAUCAUUUGGCUCUACCCGGAGCAAACUGGACCUGUGUCCCCUUGCCCUGGAAUAGAUCUUCCCUUCUGUUACAUGCUAGCAAAACAAUCUUCCGGGAACCUACCUGGCAUCUAUCUAUUCCCUUUCUCUGAGGCUGCCUUUCUAGAAAGGAGUGGUACUGAUUUACAGGACCUUCUUAUCCCGGAAACUGUGCUUUUAAAACCCACUCUUGUCUUACUGGAUUUUAGCAGUAGGCAUUCCACUCACUAUCCAUUAGUCUCAGAAAAUGCACGGACUUCCAGAUGAAAAUAAUACAAUGCCAUGAAUUCCCACUCCUAUUGUGAGUAAUAACGGUAUUUGUAUGGGGAAAUAGUCAUUAGUUUUCUUGGGGAGUUAUUGUAAAGCAUCAGGAGCAGACCUGUAUUCAUAUUCACUAAAAAUAGUCUAGCACACUAAUUGGGGGAAAGAAUAAUUUUAAAUGUUAGGUAGCACGCACAGCACCCACUGAAAUUUGUUCUACUUUAUUGUCAAGUAAACUACAUCUCUCAAUCCUUUUAGGAGCACUUAGCAGUUCAGCCUGUUGAACUGCACUUAGAUUUUGGCAUCUCUUUAAAUUGAAUAAAACAAUGUAGCCUGGAUUUGGGUUAUCUAUAAGAGCAAACAACUGAAAACAAUCCAGGUGACUAUUAACUGAGCCUUUUUAAAGUAAUGUGUAAUUGUUAAAGAGAACAAGGAGCGCUACAUGUGCUGACAAGGACCUAUCUCCAAGAUAGGUUGUUAAACGAAUAAAGCAAACUACGGAGAUGCACACACAAAAAUUAUUCCUGCAUUAACAAAGAAUAUUUCUAGAAAGAUAAACAAGAAUCAGGUUACCAUGAUUGCCUCUAAAAAGGAGACCUGAGUGGCUGGGCACAGCAGUGGCAGGCCGACUUAUUGCUUACUAUACAGCCUUUUGAAUUUUGUAAUAUGUGCAUUGAAUUUAUUUACAGAUUGAAAACAAUUUAUUAAUUUAAAAGUAUUGCAUAGCCACUGGGAUUAGACAGACUUGUGCUAGUAUUCUGAUACAGUUACCAGAUAAAAUAUAGGACACCCAGUUAAAUUUGAAAUUCAGAUAAACAAUGAAUAAAAUAAACUGUAGGUCCUGAUCCUACCGCUUAUUUUGUUUGUGACCCUAGAACGUGAGUUAGGUGAGGGUCCUCUACAGCAGAAAGAAGGAGAGUCAGAGGAGCCAGGAUGAGACCUCACGCUGAGCCUGUCCUGAAGUGGCGGUGGUGGGGUGGGGUGGGGGGGUGGUCCAGAAGCAAGCUCAGCCUCAGAGUUGUCUUAAUUUGUGGCAAGGGAGCUAUGUUUUGUGUCCCAUACCCAGGCCAGCAGCAGCAGUGGGGAAAGGAGGGAACAGAAAUUCUCAAGAAUACCCAGCCCUGUGCACAUGUGAGUAGAAUGCCUUCAGUCUGGCCAUGAAAAACCACAGCUGUGGCUGCUGGAAGUACACCCAAGCUGGGAGAGUGAAAGGAAGCUAUAAAAGCAUAUCGAGAGGAACAAGAAGUAGGUCACAGGGAGUAAUGGCGAGCAGGGCCACUCCUAUUCCUGCCUCUAGUUCCUGAACCUCCAUAUUCCUCCCUUUGGGUAUACCCAGCAGUGAGUAAUGGCUUUUGUCCUAUGGUACAAACCACAUCCUGAAGGAUCGUACCCCACUCUCAGCUUUGCCUUCAAGAGGUGGUUAUGGUAGAAUCAGUGGAUUCCAUGGUCCCUUAAACUUUGUUAUACCUCAUUUACCAUAAAGGGUGUUCCCUGACCCAAGGGGAUAUUUCGCAGACAAGGCACUCUGUGGGGACUUAGAUAGUGGUGUUAGCUGAGGCCCUACAGUGACAAGGGAAACUUUAAAUCUGGAAUACGUGUCUGCCUGAUCAUGAUGAAUUUAGCCAUAGCUCCGGCUGAGGAAGAGCUGGAGAAGUCCCUACUGUAUUGGAGGGAGUUCUAACUACUCACGGCUGCACGUCAAAUCACAGUUUAAACAACAAUCAAUUUUGUUUUUUAAUCUCUCAUGGUUCCCCCAGGUCAGGAAUUCCCCAGGUCUCAGCAGGGCCGUUCUGUGUUCUCUAGAAGCAGACCCAAAGGCAAGAAUUUUUGUGUAAGCACUUCGUUAAAGGAAGUGCUUGGGAGAGACUUGGGCGAGAGGGUGAGGGCAAGAGAGGAGGGGAAGCAUGAACAGGAAGAGGAGGAAACCAAGACAAGGUGUGAUCCCAGGCAAAGUUCUGCAGAGGGCUGGCUCGGCUUGAUCCACAGGGCAGCUCUGGAGUGUCACCUACAUCUCAGAGUUGUCCUAACUGGACGCAAGGGACCUGAGCUUUCACACUCCCACACCUGUCAGUCAUUGCUUGUUCUCCACCUUGGGGGCAGGGUACCGGGUGGGGGGGAAAGAAACUGCCAGGCAUGCCUCGCUCUUUAUUGGUACAGCUCCAGUGUCCACUUCAAACUGCUUUUAAACCUCUGUUCCUUGAUUCUUAAAAAGGAAAUAAUAUUUGUAUCUACCUCAUUGGUUUUAGGACUAAAUGAAACCAUGCGACGUUCUCACCUCAGUAUCUGGCACUACUGGAAGAAUAGUCCUGAGAUUCAUGAUCUGAAGCCAGAAGUAUCCAUAUGUUCUUGGUUCUGCUUAUGUUUCCUCUAUAUGCUAUACAGCAAAUAUUUCAUCACAGGCAGAUAAACUAUUAAUUAUCAAAGGCAAAGGUGAGCAUUAGGAAUUUCUGAAAGGAUCUCGACACCGUCACAUGAAAGGAGUUUCAGGGAAGCCGGUGGCAGAUUCCAGCAUCUCACUACCCUCUAACCAAGAACUUGGCACUAGGUCCUUCUACGUGAGCCUACGUACCGAGAGGCUUUGUGCUGGCUUAUUCAGGUUUGUUGUCCCUGUGGUUGCAAGUAAUAUUGUGCUGUAAAAAAUUAACAUUUAAAGUUUACAUAGCUGUAAGAGUGCCUGGCUGGCUCAGUGGGUUAGGUGCCCACUCUUUAUUUUUUUUAAUCUUUAUUUAUUUUUGAGAGACAGAGACAGAGUGUGAGCAGGGGAGAGGCAGAGAGAGAGGGAGACACAGAAUCCAAAGCAGGCUCCAGGCUCCGAGCUGUCAGCACAGAGCCUGAUGCAGGGCUUGAACUCACCAACCGGCGGGAGAUCAUGACCUGAGCUGAAGUGAGAUGCUUAGCUGACUGAGCCACCCAGGCGCUCCAUGUUUAAUGCAUUUCUUUUGGACAUUCAAAAUACUACCUGGCAUAUAGAAAAGCCUUCAAAAAAAUAAUUUGUUGAAUACAUAAAUUACUGUUGUCAAAUGAUUGGGGAAAGGGAGGUACUUACAGGUCCAUAAUCUCUCAUCCACCAAUCCAAAAUCCAAAGCUCUGAAAACUGAUUUUUUAAAAUAAUUUAGUUGGUGGCAAAAUCUAAUUGGAGCUGAACUCAUUUGGCAGAAAGCCUGAGAUAAACUGAUGCAGGGCCAUACAUAGUCUUUGUUCACUAUGUUCAUAGUCUUUGUGUGAAUAUUCAUGUUUCCUUGCAGGUAUAUUAAUGUGUUUGAUGAUAGGGUACCACCCCCGAGUGCCUCUGGGAGAGUUAUGUAAUAUAUGGGUUAAUUUAUGGUUUCAUUUGUGCAUUAUAUUAACAUUCCAAAAUGCAGAGCAAAUUCUGGAGGCACCUGGCUGGCUCAGUGGGUUGAGCAUCUGACUCUUGAUUUAGGCUCGGGUCAUGAUCUUGCAGUUUGUGAGCACAAGCCCCACCGUGGUUCCAGUCCCACGUGGGGCUCUGUGCCGACAGCGUGAGGCCUGCUUGGGAUUCUCUCUCCGUCUCUCCCCUUCUCUCUCUCUCUGCCCCUACCCCACUCACACUCUCUCUCUCAAAAGAAAUAAAUUAAAAAAAAAAAUUUUUAAUGCAAAAUAAAUUCUGAAUUCAAAAAUAUAUCUGGCCCUAAGGAUUGAGAUAUAUGUGUCUCUACCUCUUUUUAAACUUUCCACGUGACUUCCCAGCAGAGCUUGACCCAGUCCAUACCCACCUGCCCCAGCACAAUGCUUCCUCCUCAGGGGCUCCACCUGGCUUUACAUCAAGUUUCUUCCAUCCUCUGGCCAUUUACUCUUUUUGCUAAAAAUUCUCUCCCCUCUUUGUCUCCUGCCUGGUUCCUUUUCUUCCUUCAGGAUUAAGCUUAAAUUUCUCCUCAUCAGAGAGGCUGUCCCUACCUUACCCAUUAUGGGUUCCUGCCAUUAUUCUUCAUCAAGCAUCCUUUUUGUCCUUUAUAGCAAUUGUGUCAAUCUAUAAUUAUUACACUAGCUUUUUUUUUUUUUUCAACGUUUAUUUAUUUUUUUUGGGACAGAGAGAGACAGAGCAUGAACGGGGGAGGGGCAGAGAGAGAGGGAGACACAGAAUCGGAAACAGGCUCCAGGCUCUGAGCCAUCAGCCCAGAGCCUGACGCGGGGCUCGAACUCACGGACCGCGAGAUCGUGACCUGGCUGAAGUCGGACGCUUAACCGACUGCGCCACCCAGGCGCCCCUACACUAGCUUUUUUAAUGUUUGUUUAUUUAUUUAUUUGGAGGGAGAGAACAAGUGCUCAUGCAUGAGCGAACGAAGAGCAGGGAGAAAAAGAGAGAGAGAAUCCCAAGCAGGCUCUGCACUGUCAGCCCAGAACUUCAAAGAACCCUGAUGUGGGGCUUGAACUCAUGAACUGUGAGAUCGUGACCUGGGCCGAAAUGAAAUGUCGGACACUUAAUUGGCUGAGCCACCCAGGUGCUCCUACGUUAGUUUUGGGUUUUGUCCAUCUCUCCCUGCUGACUCUAAGCUCCAUAAAGACAAGAACUUUCCACCUUCAUCCAGUUUUUUAUACCCAGCCCUUGGCAUGAUGUCUGGUACAUUGUGGGGGCCCCACAUACAUUUGCUGAAGUGAAUGAAUCAAUUAAUCAAUCAAUCCAUCUCAAACAUACUGACAAUGGGGUGGGACACUUAGACCUCAUCAGCUAACUAAUCAAAGCUAAUACAAUAAGGAAGACAUGACUUAUAUAUGAGAUAUGAAAUUUGUAUAUAAGUUCAUUCUUGAUAUAAGGAAAGUUCUCCUAGAUCAAAAUGAAUGACUGCAAGUUUAUAAAACUUAGGUACAAUGAAAUCAGAGACAUGAUAGACAAAAUGUGAUUCUCUACUUGCAAAUAUUCUGAUGACAUUUUUAUGAAAUCAUCCCUUAGAUUUAUUGCCUUCACUAACAUUGUGUUGGCUCAUUCUGGUCUGGUGUCUUACUUCUUAUUUUAAUGUGUCUUUGUGCCCCUGAUAUGUGGAAUUGAAAUAGCAUUACUUCCCCAUCAUACAGAAUCUGCCCAAACAUACAGAAUCAACACUGAUUGAAAUUGUCUAGGAUUCUAGGAUUAUUUCCUAUUUCCAGAAAAAAGAAUUUAACUUAUCAUCAGAAACUUCUACUGACAUGUUACUCAUUUCAAGAUGAAAUCAGAAAGUUUUGAGAUGAUCUUAUCUGUGUCAUGAUGAUUUCUCCAAGGUUUCUGGGUGUGGUAUGCAUUUCGUAAAAUGAUGCAUUACACAGGUUAACCUCCAGAACUGGCAGUUUUCCAGAAGUCUGCCUGUUCCAGAAAGAGUGGCAUAUUUCCCACUCCCUCUGUGUUUCUGCCCUGUGUGGCUAAGGAAGGAAGCUGAAUUUAGUGGUUAGUGCAAUAGACUGAGUCAGCAAGCUUUGCUUCUGUAUUUGGCUGUGUGAUUUACUGAAAACCUUUGUCAAACCAACUCUGUCUAAACCAUGAAAGAAAUCUUUGUUCUCUUAUAUGUAACUUUUCAAACUUCUGAGUGAACGCUAUCUUCAUUACUACUGUUCUGAAAUUCUGAAACAUAUCACUGGGAUUUUUCUCCCCUGUGUUUCUUGCAGAAAAGUAAUAAACCGACACACCGACCAAGCAAGAAACAAACUACACCAAACACCAGGACAUCAGUGGCAUAACCAAACAGAUUUCACGUGACCUCGCAGGGCCAUCCACACAGAUGAGAAUGAGAAUACAGGCCCUUGGAGUUGUGCCCACGUAAACACCAUGGUCUUGCAUAAAGCCCAGCAAACGAGAAAGAGCCAAACUGUCCCACCAUAAAUAAAAUAUUCUUUAACUUGUCCAUGAGGGUUGACUUUAGAAUCAGAAUUUCCCUACCUUUAGAUAUUUAAUUGUAUAAAGGAAAAAAUGUGUUCCUUGUUAAAAUAGUUUAAGUGCUUCUUGGAGGCAAAAUAUUUUCUAGGGUAGACGUUUCUUUAAUCAGGUACUACUAAAUUCUACAACUUUUUGAGGUCAGCCUUGUCUGCAACCUGGCAAUACCUGGCCUAUGUCUAG